GGGAGCUUGCUCCCAUUUCUCAGCGGCGGACGGGUGAGUAACACGUGGGCAACCUGCCCUACAGACUGGGAUAACUCCGGGAAACCGGAGCUAAUACCGGGUAAUACAUAGCAUCGCAUGAUGCAACGUUGAAAGUUGGCCUUUGGCUAACACUGUAGGAUGGGCCCGCGGCGCAUUAGCUAGUUGGUAAGGUAACGGCUUACCAAGGCCACGAUGCGUAGCCGACCUGAGAGGGUGAUCGGCCACACUGGGACUGAGACACGGCCCAGACUCCUACGGGAGGCAGCAGUAGGGAAUCUUCCGCAAUGGACGAAAGUCUGACGGAGCAACGCCGCGUGAGUGACGAAGGCCUUCGGGUCGUAAAGCUCUGUUGUUAGGGAAGAACAAGUACCGUUCGAAUAGGGCGGUACCUUGACGGUACCUAACCAGAAAGCCACGGCUAACUACGUGCCAGCAGCCGCGGUAAUACGUAGGUGGCAAGCGUUGUCCGGAAUUAUUGGGCGUAAAGCGCGCGCAGGCGGUCUCUUAAGUCUGAUGUG
rnacentral:rRNA from 1 species